ACCCGGUUAGCUCAGUUGGUUAGAGUACUUCCUUGACGUGGAAGUUGUCAGAAGUUCGAAUCUUCUACCGGGUA
rnacentral:tRNA from 1 species